GGCUCGCGGCCUAUCUGGUAGUGGUCGGGGUAAAUGCCCACCAAGGUGACGACGGGUAGCUGCUCUGAGAGGACGGCCAGCCACACUGAAAGUGAGACCCGGUCCAGACACAUACGGGUGGCAGCAGUCGAGAAUCUUUCGCAAUCGGGGCAACCUUUAUGGAGAGACGCCGCGUGGAGGAUAAGGUCUUCGGAUUGUAAAAUCCUGUCAUGCGUGAACAAGAUUGCCGGGCUAAUAACCCGAGCAAGUUGAUGGUAACGCAAGAGGAAGAGACGGCUAACUCUGGUCCCGCAGCCGCGGUAAUACAGAGGUCUCCAGCGUUUUUCGGAAUCACUGGGCGUAAAGGGUGCGUAGGUGGCGUGGUAAGUCAGAUGGGAAAGCCCGGAGCUCAACUUCGGAAUUGCAUCCGAUACUACCAGACUUAAGACGUAGGGGUGACUGGAAUUCUAGGUGUAUCGGUGAAUGCGCAGAUAUCGGGUGGAAUACCUCAGCCGUAGACAGGCCCGUG
rnacentral:rRNA from 1 species